GCCAGAAUAGCUCAGCGGUAAAGAAUCUGUUUGCAAUACAGGAGCUACAGGAGACUCGGGUUCAAUCCCUGGUUCAGGAA
rnacentral:tRNA from 1 species